AACGAGUCCCAAAUAGGACGAAAUGCGCAUCCUGGAU
rfam:Trichobilharzia regenti genome assembly, scaffold: TRE_scaffold0071857